GGGGAAUUUUGCGCAAUGGGGGAAACCCUGACGCAGCAACGCCGCGUGGAGGAUGAAGUCUCUUGGGACGUAAACUCCUUUCGAUCGGGACGAUAAUGACGGUACCGAUAGAAGAAGCCCCGGCUAACUUCGUGCCAGCAGCCGCGGUAAUACGAGGGGGGCAAGCGUUGUUCGGAAUUAUUGGGCGUAAAGGGUGCGUAGGCGGCCCCGCAAGUCCUGUGUGAAAACUUCAAGCUCAACUUGGAGUCUGCACGGGAAACUGCUGGGCUGGAGUAUGGGAGAGGUGAGUGGAAUUUCCGGUGUAGCGGUGAAAUGCGUAGAUAUCGGAAGGAACACCUGUGGCGAAAGCGGCUCACUGGACCAUUUCUGACGCUGAUGCACGAAAGCUAGGGGAGCAAACA
rnacentral:rRNA from 1 species